rnacentral:rRNA from 1 species
UACAGAGGGUGCGAGCGUUAAUCGGAAUUACUGGGCGUAAAGGGCGCGUAGGCGGCUUAUCAAGUCAGGCGUGAAAUUCCCGGGCUCAACCUGGGGGCUGCGCUUGAUACUGAUGAGCUUGAAUGCGGGAGAGGAUAGUGGAAUUCCCAGUGUAGAGGUGAAAUUCGUAGAUAUUGGGAAGAACACCGGUGGCGAAGGCGGCUAUCUGGCCCGUAAUUGACGCUGAGGCGCGAAAGCGUGGGGAGCAAACAGG